rnacentral:rRNA from 1 species
UUCUUGGAGAGUUUGAUCCUGGCUCAGGACGAACGCUGGCGGCGUGCCUAAUACAUGCAAGUCGAGCGAACCAAUAGG